rnacentral:tRNA from 1 species
GGGUUUAUAGCUCAGUGGUAGAGUGCAGGCACAGGGUCCUGGGUUCAAUCCCCAGUACCUCCA